rnacentral:lncRNA from 1 species
AGAAAAUAAAGAUCAAAAGUGUUCAUGGACUCAUAUCUUAUUUCACAAAUUUCACUUAUUAAGAAAAUCAAUCCAAGUUUCAAUUCCUAAAUAGUGUUGGCCUCUCACUAUCCAAGCUUCAUAGAUUCAAUCUCAACAACAUACCAAACAAGUCAACAAAUAAAACAGUGAAGAAAACAUUCGAAAAUGCAUGGUCGAAAAAAUCCUCAAAAUGCAACCAUUUUUCCAUUGGAUCGAUCAUUAGCCUUCACCACCACCGCCGUCCAUGGAAGAAAUGUUGGCAGUACUCACCAUAACAACAGCGGCAGCGCCGACACCAGUGCUUGAGGCAGCAGUAGUACCAGCUGCAUCGGUGUUGCCUUCACCAUGAUCAUCAUUAUGAGCCGUUGACACGACGUGCCCUCCUCUUCUCUUGCCGUGCUGGAGACGAGAGCUGGAAUGGGAUUCGUCUUCGUGCUUCUCUUGAUCUUUCCCUUCUUUGGGUUUCCAGGCAGGGAUGCAGAAGCAGAUGGUUUUCCUGCUCUUCAUUACUGAACGAAUGAAAGAUCAUCACCAAAACAUCACAUUACUUAUAGAAUUGCCCAAGUGCUCAACAUGAUUUUCUUAUUUAACAUGAAUAUAUGUUAACUUUAUCAUUUUGUAUUCUUCCAUUUUCCAAAUGAGUGCAACGUUUCUUUUUACCAACCACAUGUGAUUGGUGCCACACCUUUGUUCAUAUCCAAUUAUUCAUUACUUACAUUAAUGAUUGCUCAUCACAUUGCCAGCUUUGAGACAAAUGAUCAAUUUCCAGUUUCCUUUUCCAACCAGGACAAAUCAAAUCAAGGGAAUGACAUGUAUAUUGUGUGCAAAUCUGUUUCAAUUUCGAAUCUUAUUUUCUUAAUUAAUUAGUUUCUCGACAUUAAUUUCAAAGUACCUAAGAAAAUACUUUUGAUAUCAUGUUUUAUACGAAAAUUAU